GUAGCGACUCCUACGGGAGGCAGCAGUGGGGAAUAUUGCACAAUGGGGGAAACCCUGAUGCAGCCAUGCCGCGUGUGUGAAGAAGGCCUUCGGGUUGUAAAGCACUUUCAGUAGGGAGGAAGGUAGUGUAGUUAACACCUGCACUAUUUGACGUUACCUACAGAAGAAGCACCGGCUAACUCCGUGCCAGCAGCCGCGGUAAUACGGAGGGUGCGAGCGUUAAUCGGAAUUACUGGGCGUAAAGCGCAUGCAGGCGGCCUGUUAAGUCAGAUGUGAAAGCCCCGGGGCUUAACCUCGGAAUUGCAUUUGAAACUGGCAGGCUAGAGUCUUGUAGAGGGGGUAGAAUUUCAGGUGUAGCGGUGAAAUGCGUAGAGAUCUGAAGGAAUACCAGUGGCGAAGGCGGCCCCCUGGACAAAGACUGACGCUCAGAUGCGAAAGCGUGGGGAGCAAACAGGAUUAGAUACCCCUGGUAG
rnacentral:rRNA from 1 species